rnacentral:rRNA from 1 species
UUCCGGUUGAUCCUGCCGGAGGCCACUGCUAUCGGAGUUCGAUUAAGCCAUGCGAGUCGAGAGGUGCAAGACCUCGGCAUACUGCUCAGUAACACGUGGACAACCUACCCUAUGGAGGGGGAUAACCCCGGGAAACUGGGGAUAAUACCCCAUAGACUAUGAAUGCUGGAAUGCUUUGUAGUUGAAAGGUCCGCCGCCAUAGGAUGGGUCUGCGGCCGAUUAGGUUGUUGUUGGGGUAACGGCCCAACAAGCCUGUAAUCGGUACGGGUUGUGGAGCAAGAGCUCGGAGAUGGAUUCUGAGACACGAAUCCAGGCCCUACGGGGCGCAGCAGGCGCGAAAACUUUACAAUGCGGGAAACCGUGAUAAGGGAACUCCGAGUGCCCGUAAAAUCGGGCUGUCCACCUGUUUAAAUAACAGGUGAAGAAAGGGCCAGGCAAGACCGGUGCCAGCCGCCGCGGUAAUACCGGCGGCUCGAGUGGUGGCCACUAUUACUGGGCUUAAAGCGUUCGUAGCUGGUCUGUUAAGUCUCUGGGGAAAUCUACUGGCUUAACCAACAGGCGUCUCAGGGAUACUGGCAGACUAGGGACCGGGAGAGGUGAGAGGUACUCCAGGGGUAGGAGUGAAAUCCUGUAAUCCUUGGGGGACCACCUGUGGCGAAGGCGUCUCACCAGAACGGCUCCGACAGUGAGGGACGAAAGCUGGGGGAGCAAACCGGAUUAGAUACCCGGGUAGUCCCAGCUGUAAACGAUGCGCGUUAGGUGUAUCGGUGACCACGAGUCAUCGAGGUGCCGAAGAGAAAUCGUGAAACGUGCCGCCUGGGGAAGUACGGUCGCAAGGCUGAAACUUAAAGGAAUUGGCGGGGGAGCACCACAACAGGUGGAGCCUGCGGUUUAAUUGGAUUCAACGCCGGGA